GGGGUGCUCGAGUGGCGAACGGGUGAGUAACACGUGAGUAACCUGCCCUUGACUUUGGGAUAACUUCAGGAAACUGGGGCUAAUACCGGAUAGGAGCUCCUGCUGCAUGGUGGGGGUUGGAAAGUUUCGGCGGUUGGGGAUGGACUCGCGGCUUAUCAGCUUGUUGGUGGGGUAGUGGCUUACCAAGGCUUUGACGGGUAGCCGGCCUGGGAGGGUGACCGGCCACAUUGGGACUGAGAUACGGCCCAG
rnacentral:rRNA from 1 species